rnacentral:tRNA from 1 species
GUGGUUGUGGCUCAGUGAUAGAGCACUUGCCUAGUAUGUGUGAGUCAUUGGGUUCGAUUCUCAGCACCCACA